AGAGUUGAUCCUGGCUCAGGAUGAACGCUGGCGGCGUGCUUAACACAUGCAAGUCGAACGAAGCACUUGGGAAAGAUCUUCGGAUGAAGCCUUUGUGACUGAGUGGCGGACGGGUGAGUAACGCGUGGGUAACCUACCUCAUACAGGGGGAUAACAGUUGGAAACGACCGCUAAUACCGCAUAACCCGCUAGUAUCGCAUGAUACAGACGGAAAAGAUUUAUCAGUAUGAGAUGGACCCGCGUCUGAUUAGCCAGUUGGCAGGGUAACGGCCUACCAAAGCGACGAUCAGUAGCCGGCCUGAGAGGGUGAACGGCCACAUUGGGACUGAGACACGGCCCAAACUCCUACGGGAGGCAGCAGUGGGGAAUAUUGCACAAUGGGGGAAACCCUGAUGCAGCGACGCCGCGUGAGUGAGGAAGUAUUUCGGUAUGUAAAGCUCUAUCAGCAGGGAAGAAAAUGGCGGUACCUGACCAAGAAGCCCCGGCUAACUACGUG
rnacentral:rRNA from 1 species